GGUUAAGCGACUAAGCGUACACGGUGGAUGCCCUGGCAGUCAGAGGCGAUGAAGGACGUGCUAAUCUGCGAUAAGCGCCGGUAAGGUGAUAUGAACCGUUAUAACCGGCGAUUUCCGAAUGGGGAAACCCAGUGUGACUCGUCACACUAUCAUUAACUGAAUCCAUAGGUUAAUGAGGCGAACCGGGGGAACUGAAACAUCUAAGUACCCCGAGGAAAAGAAAUCAACCGAGAUUCCCCCAGUAGCGGCGAGCGAACGGGGAGGAGCCCAGAGCCUGAAUCAGCAUGUGUGUUAGUGGAAGCGUCUGGAAAGGCGCGCGAUACAGGGUGACAGCCCCGUACACAAAAGCGCAUGUGUUGUGAGCUCGAUGAGUAGGGCGGGACACGUGGUAUCCUGUCUGAAUAUGGGGGGACCAUCCUCCAAGGCUAAAUACUCCUGACUGACCGAUAGUGAACCAGUACCGUGAGGGAAAGGCGAAAAGAACCCCGGCGAGGGGAGUGAAAAAGAACCUGAAACCGUGUACGUACAAGCAGUGGGAGCCCCACCACUAAGCCAGUGGUGAACUCCACAUACGCAUCCUUUGCUGAAGGUGCGGUUAACGGAGCGCAAGCGACGUUCAACCUCAAAAGAAGCAGAGGGGGCUUAGUGGUGGGGUGACUGCGUACCUUUUGUAUAAUGGGUCAGCGACUUAUAUUCUGUAGCAAGGUUAACCGCAUAGGGGAGCCGGAGGGAAACCGAGUCUUAAUUGGGCGUUAAGUUGCAGGGUAUAGACCCGAAACCCGGUGAUCUAGCCAUGGGCAGGUUGAAGGUUGGGUAACACUAACUGGAGGACCGAACCGACUAAUGUUGAAAAAUUAGCGGAUGACCUGUGGCUGGGGGUGAAAGGCCAAUCAAACCGGGAGAUAGCUGGUUCUCCCCGAAAGCUAUUUAGGUAGCGCCUCGUGAAUUCAUCUCCGGGGGUAGAGCACUGUUUCGGCUAGGGGGCCAUCCCGGCUUACCAACCCGAUGCAAACUGCGAAUACCGGAGAAUGUUAUCACGGGAGACACACGGCGGGUGCUAACGUCCGUCGUGAAGAGGGAAACAACCCAGACCGCCAGCUAAGGUCCCCAAAGUCAUG
rnacentral:rRNA from 1 species